CCUGAGUUUCCUAAAACUACGGACAUAACUGAACGCUCUGCAUAUAUUUUGUAUAUACUUAUUUACAUGUUGCCUAUGGUCCACUAGAAUGGAAGCAACCUGACGGCAGAGAACGUGUUUUUGCCUUUCCUUGUAUGCCCAGUGAUCGCCGCGGUGUCCGCACACAGUAGGCGCUUAUUAAGUGCUUGCUUACUGGUUGCUCCGAGAGGGCUUCGGGGGCUCACCCCUGGCCAUACCCACUACUCGGCUAGCGAGGACGCCCGGCCACAUGUCCGGCAGGGCCCACAGUUUGGCUUUCCAGCAGCGCAGCGCUAAACACAAGGCCCCACCCGACCCCGGUGGGAGGGGGGACCCGAGCAGGGCCCCGUGGGCAGCGGCCAACAGCCGGUGGCCAGAACAGGUAGUGGGGGCCGCAGAUUAAAGCACGGGAAGGCGGCCAGAACGCACCGCAGUCGCAGCUCGCCCCGGGCGCCCUCGCGUCCCCGCGGGCGCCGCUGUCCGUCUCCCGAGGGAAGGGUCCGCGGACAGACGGGCCCGCGAAAGGGGGCGCCUCCUCCCCUCCCCCGCACACUCCGACACUGACCGUCGCCCGCCCACGAUCUCUAUGAAGCCCCCAAGCGCGCCCGCCGGGCCCUGACGUCAGGCUACCGCACAAGAAGCGGGCACGCAUCGCGCGCGGAGCAGAGCCCCGCCUCUCCCCAUCCCCGGUCCCACCUCCGCCCCUCCUUUUGUCUCCACGCCCCGCGGGGCCAGAGAGAGCUCGGAGCGCAUGCGCCCUGAGAGCAGAACCAGGUGAGGGGGAUGGGGCUGGGAAUGCUGCGUGGUGGCACGCUGGCCCACGUUCUUUCGCGCCGGGGCCCGAGUGCGGUCAGGGAGGAAGGAAGGUAGCGCACACCUUUGCUCCAAUGGCUGCAGCCCUUCCGCGCGCACUCCCCCAGAAAAAAUCCACAUCCCAAGACCCUAGAGAGAGCUACCAAGUAACAAAGAUUGGCCCAGGACCAUCCAUGUUUGAUCCAGGAUCAUCCAGGUUUGACCCAGGACCAUCCAAGUUUAACACAGGACCAUCCAGGUUUAACUUGGGGUCAUCCAAGUUUGACCCAGGACCAUCCAGGUUUGACCCAGGACCAUCCAGGUUUGACCCAGGACCAUCCAAAUUUGACCCAGGACCAUCCAGGUUUUACGCAGGACCAUCCAGGUUUGACUUGGGGUCAUCCAAGUUUGACCCAGGACCAUCCAGGUUUGACCCAGGACCAUCCAGUGUUGGCCCAGGACCAUCCAGGUUUGACCCGGGACCAUCCAGGUUUGACCCGGGACCAUCCAGGUUUGACCCGGGACCAUCCAGGUUUGACCCGGGACCAUCCAGGUUUGACUCGGGAUCAUCCAGGUUUGACACAGGGUCAUCCAGUCUUGGCCCAGGACCAUCCAGGUUUGACCCAGGACCAUCCAGGUUUGACCCAGGACCAUCCAGUCUUGGCCCAGGACCAUCCAGGUUUGGCCCAGGACCAUCCAGUCUUGGCCCAGGACCAUCCAGGUUUGGCCCAGGACCAUCCAGUCUUGGCCCAGGACCAUCCAGGUUUGGCCCAGGACCAUCCAGUCUUGGCCCAGGACCAUCCAGGUUUGGCCCAGGACCAUCCAGGUUUGACUCGGGGUCAUCCCAGUUUGACCUAGGACCAUCCAGUCUUGGCCCGGGACCAUCCAAGUUUGACCCAGGACCAUCCAAGUUUGACACAGGGUCAUGGAGUCUUGGCCCAAGAUCAUCCGAGUCUAUGGCCAGAACAAGUUCAAAGGACAUCACGAUAGAAGUUUGUCCAGGCACCUAUACUGUCACAGUAGGGUCCCCUAAUGUAACCACAACGCACAUGAUAGAGGUUGACUCAGGAGAAAUCAUCGAUCUGAGUUUCCCUCUUUAA
rnacentral:lncRNA from 1 species